rnacentral:tRNA from 1 species
GCUUCCUUGGCUCAGUUAGUAGAGUGUUGGUCUCAUAAUCCAAAGGUAGGCAGUAUGAGCCUGCCAGGGAGCA